rnacentral:rRNA from 1 species
UGGGGAAUUUUGGACAAUGGGGGCAACCCUGAUCCAGCAAUGCCGCGUGUGUGAAGAAGGCCUUCGGGUUGUGAAGCACUUUUGUCCGGAAAGAAAACGUCGUGGUUAAUACCCGUGGCGGCUGACGGUACCGGAAGAAUAAGCACCGGCUAACUACGUGCCAGCAGCCGCGGUAAUACGUAGGGUGCAAGCGUUAAUCGGAAUUACUGGGCGUAAAGCGUGCGCAGGCGGUCCGCUAAGACAGAUGUGAAAUCCCCGGGCUUAACCUGGGAACUGCAUUUGUGACUGGCGGGCUAGAGUAUGGCAGAGGGGGGUAGAAUUCCACGUGUAGCAGUGAAAUGCGUGAGAUGUGGAGGAAUACCGAUGGCGAAGGCAGCCCCCUGGGCCAAUACUGAGCUCAUGCACGAAAGCGUGGGGAGCAAACAGGAUUAGAUACCCUGGUAGUCCACGCCCUAAACGAUGUCAACUAGUUGUCGGGUCUUCAUUGACUUGGUAACGUAGCUAACGCGUGAAGUUGACCGCCUGGGGAGUACGGU